rnacentral:rRNA from 1 species
UACGAAGGGGGCUAGCGUUGCUCGGAAUGACUGGGCGUAAAGGGCGCGUAGGCGGCGGUCACAGUCAGAUGUGAAAUUCCUGGGCUUAGCCUGGGGGCUGCAUUUGAUACGUGGUUGCUUGAGUGGGGAAGAGGGUCGUGGAAUUCCCAGUGUAGAGGUGAAAUUCGUAGAUAUUGGGAAGAACACCGGUGGCGAAGGCGGCGACCUGGUCCUUGACUGACGCUGAGACGCGAAAGCGUGGGGAGCGAACAGG